rnacentral:rRNA from 1 species
GGGGCACAGAGGUUGUGUUUCUCUCGUCAAGACUAACCCCGCGAUCAUGCUAAUACUCGUCACUCAGCAGGUAGUGAGAUGACGUAGCUCUAUGAUUACCCAUACUCACAACAGAGCGCUUUUAUUAGCAUCCUAGUAGAGCGCGAGUCGUGUGCUUUCUCAGCGCUGUCGGCGCGCUGUU